UGCAUCUGGGGCCUGUGAGGAUGAGAACCUCCGGGGGCAGGAGGUUCGACUCGAGCGAAGCGAGAGAACGUUGCGUCAGCAACGGCCCGCAGGGCGAGCCACGAAGUGGUG
rnacentral:sRNA from 1 species